ACAGCAGUCGCCGCGGUAAUACGUAGGGCGCAAGCGUUAUCCGGAAUUAUUGGGCGUAAAGAGCUCGUAGGCGGUUUGUCGCGUCUGCCGUGAAAGUCCGGGGCUCAACCCCGGAUCUGCGGUGGGUACGGGCAGACUAGAGUGAUGUAGGGGAGACUGGAAUUCCUGGUGUAGCGGUGAAAUGCGCAGAUAUCAGGAGGAACACCGAUGGCGAAGGCAGGUCUCUGGGCAUUAACUGACGCUGAGGAGCGAAAGCAUGGGGAGCGAACAGGAUUAGAGACCCCAGUAGUCCCUGUCUCUUAUAC
rnacentral:rRNA from 1 species